ensembl:rRNA 5S_rRNA 5S ribosomal RNA
GUCUAUGGCCAUAGCACCCUGAACACACCCGAUCUCGUAUGGUCUCAGAAGCUAAGCAGGGUUGGGCCUGAUUAAUACUCAGAUGGCAGAAGACCAGAGCAGGAGCUAUGGUCA